AUGGGAACUCAUCAUUGAGUGGCUGUGUUUCCAGGGGGUCUGUCAUGAAGUGGGGCUUUUCCCUUGUUAUGCUGUAUGUGAGCCUAUGUGAGUCUUACGGUUCUGCAUGAAUACAGUGUGGAGCAAUACACGGGAAA